UACGUAGGUGGCGAGCGUUGUCCGGAAUUACUGGGUGUAAAGGGCGCGUAGGUGGGAAAUUAAGUCAGAUGUGAAAUUCCCGGGCUUAACUUGGGCGCUGCAUCUGAAACUAAUUUUCUUGAGUGCUGGAGAGGGAAGCGGAAUUCCCAGUGUAGCGGUGAAAUGCGUAGAUAUUGGGAGGAACACCAGUGGCGAAGGCGGCUUCCUGGACGGUAACUGACACUGAGGCGCGAAAGCGUGGGGAG
rnacentral:rRNA from 1 species